rnacentral:lncRNA from 1 species
GAUCGGAAGAAUGGCUUCUCUAGGCGAGGUUUUGCUGCCCACUUGAGUCCCUCUCCUGAGUGCCCGGGAACUUGGUGACUCUAAAUGGGUUGCCAUGACCUGUGCAGGAUCACUGCGAUUGCUCUGGGCCAUGGAGAAGGUCACCAGGGAGCCCGAGCAUGUGCCCAGGUGCUUUGGAGCUUCCUAACUGCACUCAAGCUCAGUAGAGGAUGCAGUGAUCGUCUGUUCAGCUGAGUCUUGACCAGAGUCGUGACCUUUCUGAAAGACAUGAGGCAAAGUACAGAGCCCAGAGAUUUUGGCACCCACAGUCCAGAGUACCUGCCUGGUCUUAGUACCAACUCAAUACAUUAACCAGGACUUUUUAAAAAUGAAUUUUAGUUUCUUUAUUUUAUUUAUUUAUUUAGUUUAUUGAUACAUUUUAGGUAUACAGUGCAGUUACAUUCAUUAUUGGGAUCUUGUACCUUUACAUGCCAGGUCUUGGUUCUCAUUUUUUUCCCCUUAUCUCUGCACUCCCUUCUUUACUGACAAUGGGAAUCUGACCUCCAGUCUUCAUAAGGCCAUGUCAUGCACCAUCUGACACCAGGCAGACCUGGGUUCAAAUCCCAGUUCUACCAGUUCCAAGCUGUACAACCUGGGGCAAGGUGCCAUAUUUCACUGUGCCUUUGUUUCCUCAUCUCUAAGGUGGAGAUG